rnacentral:lncRNA from 1 species
AUGGCAUUAAGCAUUCCCAUGGGCAUGGGGCACUUCAACCUGUAUGGCUUGCUCUAAAUCCCAGCUAACAGUGGUUUGUAGUUUGGGUCAUAAUUUGGCUUAGAAACCUUGGUUAGCAUCUCUAAAUGAAAAUAAUUCCCCAUUUAUAUUGCUGUCACUAGGGCUGAGUACUGUGUUCAGAAGUAACACCCAAGGAGCCCAAAGGAUGAAUCCCACAGCUGUGCCCAGAGCCUUCCUCGGACUUAAGUGCACUUCUGGAUCAUUUGGUACCCAAGGGAAACCCUCCCUUAAAUGAGCAGAGCACCUCCAUUCCAUUUGUGCUGGACUUCCCUGUAACUCUCAUAAAUUCUCUGGUAAACCAGACCAAGUGGUUCAUGCACAGAUAGAGAAACUAAGGUGAUAAGUAAGAAAGGUAGGUAAAGGACACUAAAAUACUGUAAAUUUGAGUGAACUUUGAAUUUGUAAUACUGUAAAAGCUUUUGUGUUGCUUAAUAUUCAUCAGCCUGAGAAUUUUGCUUCCAGACCUGUUGCAGUAUUCAUCCUCUCUACUGUCUAACAGGGAUGGCAAAAUCAAAAAUCAAUGUGUGUCUUAAUACUGUGCUACUGACAUGCUCAGACUUGCUUUGAUAUCCCCACUUUGGAAAUAAAAAAUCCAAGAACAGGGAAAAAAAACCA